rnacentral:rRNA from 1 species
CAGCAGCCGCGGUAAUACGAAGGGUGCAAGCGUUACUCGGAAUUACUGGGCGUAAAGCGUGCGUAGGUGGUUGUUUAAGUCUGCUGUGAAAGCCCUGGGCUCAACCUGGGAAUUGCAGUGGAUACUGGGCAACUAGAGUAAGGUAGAGGAUAGUGGAAUUUCCGGUGUAGCAGUGAAAUGCGUAGAGAUCGGAAGGAACAUCUGUGGCGAAGGCGACUAUCUGGGCCAUUACUGACACUGAGGCACGAAAGCGUGGGGAGCAAACAGGAUUAGAUACCCGUGUAGUCCCUGUCUCUUAUAC